UGCAGGGAGCCCGAUGUGGGAUUUGAUCCUGGGACUUGGAUCACACCCUGAGCCAAAGGUCAAUUUGGAGAGCUUCUCCAUUCCUGAACAAUUCCCCUCUGGUGAUUCUUGUCAGCUGUCGGACCUGUUGUGUUGUGCAAUGGCUGUGCCCAUCCUAUGUAGUUAUCUGUAGCCCUGCGGUGGGGACUUACACCCCGUUCUUCUGUUACUUCAGUGCGUCAGCUAGAUCCAGCUUCUCUGUGUGGCUCACGUAGGCCCUGUCUACUUGGAAUAUAUGCCACUAAUUUUUGACUGCCCAUCCGUGGGAUAUGUCUGUCAUAUGCUUCAGGACCAAGCUGAAUGUAAUGCUCUGGGAGAGAUCUUAUUCUGUUGUCCCUCCGUCUUUUGGAGUGCUUCUUCAUAUGGGUGGGUAUGUGAUCCGAGCAUAUCCGUUGGCACUUCUCGGUGAGGUAGCAUCCUGCGUCUUCUCAAGGUGCUAGGUGUGCAUGUUUUGUCUCCCCAAAUGUAAAACCUUAGUGAAUGCCAAGUUUCUUUGCAGGAUGAGUGUGGAGACCUCCAGUACUGCCAGAAGAAAGGUAUUGGUACGUAAUUGUAAAAGUAGGACACACGGCAGGGAAGGUGGCCCCCUCCAUCACUCUGCCCCACUCCCAUGUGGACCUCGUACCUGAUUGGGAGCUGGGGGUGGAAACUGCAGUAGGUUUGCCCUGGCCCUUGCCCUCCUGCGCCUGACCGUGGGGCCGUGAGAGGAUAGAGCGUCUCCUGCCCGUGGUUGCAAUGAGAGAGCUAGAGGAUAAAUGCUGAAAAUAAUAUUCUGGGCUGAGGGCCAAGGUCAUGGCCAACGAGUGUGUCCAAACCCUGUCAUAAAUUAAAGUAACUAUCAGAAAACUGAGCGCUGAGUUCUGGAGCCAAAAUGAGCGGUGCUGAGCCACAGAACAAGCCAAGAACGGAGAGAGGAAAGACGUGCAGCAGAUCACACUGUCAAAGGUCAAUGAAGCGCUCCUGCUCGCAGGCUGGCCAGGUCCGGGAGGGUGCCAGGCCCCUGCACAUGCAGUAGGCGGAUGUGUGCACGCUCAUCUACAGGAUCAUUCCACCUGCCCCCAGGGAUCCUCCAAGCAAACUCUGACUUAAAGUUCUUCACCCAUAGGCAAGAAAUUCUAUUCUUUUGUUAUUUUAAUCCCCAAACGAGCCAUGAUACACACAGAGGCAAUUUCAGGUUUAGUCAUGUUACCUUUACCCAAACUGAAAUCAGUCCCCAUUUUUGCAUAGCCCUAUAGAACAUCCAGGGUUCCCAGCCUGUCUAGAGAAAUGCCCUAGCCGCAAAAGGUGCGAAGGCAGCGAGGCAAUCAACACCAUACGUACAAACGAGUUUGUGAUUGCUCACUUGCUCCAUGGGUGUGGAGGGGAUAGGACUGCACGCUAUUUUGUGACAGUUUCCAUACUUAUCUAAGUAUCCAUACACUUCCUGCUCUUCCCUCCUCUUCCUGUUGGGACAUUUUUGUACAUGCCCAGUGCCGUAAGAUUCCAAAGGAAAUAGGAGCGCUUUAUGAUGAUCUAAAUCAGCAUCAAAUUGCAAGGCCGGGCUUUCUGUCACAUAGUCAGUCAAUUAUAUCAUAAAGACUAACCAUACUCCUCAAAAAAGAAAAGAAAACUUUUCAAAACCCAAGUGCAAUCUGAUCCCUUCUACAACGCCAUUCAUCUGUAACUGUACACUUGUCUUAUACAAUGGCAAAACCAUAUUGGUGCCUAUUACUCAGCCACAAUACUUUUUAAUUCUUUAAAAAACAUUUCUAACAGAAAAAUCAAAUAUAUGGCUAUUAAACAUUAAUUCUAUCAAAAUGUGAAUGUGUCACUUAAGAUGGGUGGAAGCCCAAGAUUCUUUUUCAUGCAGGGACCCGACCAAAGGAUUAACUCUAGCACCUCUCUUUGUAGGUCAUCCCUAGCACUCAAUACCUAAACAUCAAGGAAGAGAGGGUGCUUCCCCUCCCACCUCCCAAGCUUGACAUUUUGGAGAGAGACUCCUUAGGUGAUGGGGAAAUAACAAAAUGCACAAAGCAGGGCCUAAAAACGAGGGAAGGGAAAUUCUCCCUCAGCCCCCAGCACUGGGGCUGCUCCGGGGUCGAGGCGACUGUUACCAAAUGCUGUGUUAGUUUGAGUGAACACCCACUUCGCUGUCCCAAGAGGAGGAGACUUAUUCUGAGGGAUGGGCAGCUGUUGACAGUAACUUUCUUUGGGGAGAUGGAGCAGCUGCCAGAGCGGCAGAUCAAAGGCCAUUUGCUAAAAUGCUAAGCACAUUGUAUUUGAUGACUGGAGACCCACCUUCUAGUCUGUUUGCCUCUGCAGAGCUGGGACCUUGGGCACAUCACUUCCCCGCCAUGCACUUUCCUUACCUUUAUGGCUCACGAAUGCAAUUAUGUUUUCUCUAACCUCUUCAAGGUUACAUUCUGUAAUUACAGCAACCAAGACCAACAAGAAUGCUGUUAAGAUUAUUAUGUGACCAAUUGAUUGUCAAAUGUGAAUUGAAGAAUGGAUUCCAAUGGCAUCUGAAGCAUUAUUUUGGGUCCUUAUCAGAGAAUGUCCACGUUGGUGACCUCUGGUCAGCUAAGGCAUCGCCUGAGUUCUCACCUCCUUCAUGUGCACAUGGAAGGGGUGUGAAGGACCUGACUGCGCUUCUGGCCCUUGGGGUCCAUUCAUCUCAGAAUAAAUUCCUCUUGCUUUUUGCUGGAACCCACGUGGGUCAUGAUCUGUGUACCAGUGAAACACUGAAAUAGUCCUAGUGACCAAGGAGACCUGUGGACACCAUUGGCUACUCCAGAACCUGGGCAAAGGCAGGGGACCUGGACACAGUUGAUCCACAGCACACAGGAGGCUUCCCCAGUCACAAGCUGUAAGAAGGGUUGCAGAUACUGAAAGGUAUCUGUCUCCAAUCAAGUGUGAGAAUGAUCAGCCAUGGUACAGGCAUGGCGGCUGUGAAUUGGAGAAGUCACCUCAGAUGGGUCCGUGACAGAGAGAUACCAGGUGGCUGGCAGUCUUACUGAAGAAGGAGGAAGGAAGGGGAGGAGAGGAGAGAAGAGGAGAGGACAGGAGAGGACAGGAGAGAAGGAAGGAAGGAAGAAGACAAAAAACCAAAACCACAACCACAACCACAACAGCCAGCGCAAACGAGGAGCCUGGAGUAGAGGGAGGGCCAUCCUACCCCUGAAUGCCAGGGAGCUGGCUCUGCUCUUCGAGAGGAGGCUGGACUGCUCUUUCCUCGCCGGCUGUGCUCCAGGUCUCUGCCUUAGAUAAGGGCCCUGCAGCUGGACUCGGGGCCCCCCUCUCCCCCAGCCCCCGAAGGCCCACCGCGGAUUGCCAAGAUAAGUCUUAUCUGGGACUCGGUUUCCUGACCACCAAGUGACCUCGGGGUGAAGAAGGCCCACCAGGCUCAUGGUAACGUGGCCGUAACCCUCACAUUUGCUUGGGGAAACUGGCGCAAAGGAAUAAAAGCACAACACGGGCUCGUAAGCUUGGUUGUUGGGUAGACGUGGACUCGCUCUCCUGUUCGUCUCUGGGAGACCCAGCCUACUUUCUAAACUGCACUUUACCGCAUCGAUUUAAAGGUACCAAUGGACGUGUACAGUCCGAUCCUUAGCGUGAAGACCCCGCCCUGCCUUGGAAACUCCGCAUUUAAUCUCUCCUGUCACUUUCAGGGAUAAAGAAGCAGGCCCGAUGGAGAAGGACCAGCAUCAGUUUAUUGACUUCUGAGAACUAUUCACCUUUUGCAGAGAAGGGAAAAACCCCUCCUCGUAUCUAGGGCCUGCUGGGUGCUAAUUUGACAUGGCAAUGAGAUAAAAGUUGGGCUCGGGCUGCCGUCAACCUCACCGGAUCGGAAUGCCGUCUACUUAGCAUAGGAGUCAAACAAUUCCCUGGCAAUAGAUUGCUUUCCACUUGUAGGUCUACUAAAUAAAUAGAAAAGUAAUUAACAGUGUGCUAUGGCAGAUGUAUCGGGGGAAUUUCAUUAGAGCAGAAGAACGGAGGGAAUCAAGGAGCCACUUUGUAUCCCACCAUCCGGGGAAGCUUUCCUGCCGUCUCUAGGAUGGACGUGUGAUUUCUGCUUCUCUGCAAUAACAGACAUUUCUGAAUCUCCUAUGAUCUCUUCACACCGAUCCAUGGGAAAAGAAAGAAAAAGAAACCCGUUAAGUGCCUGAGAUCAGUCCACAAAUAAAGAAUUCCUCGCAUUUUUCCAUUUAGUUGUUUUGUCCCUGAAACCCGUGGAUGGUUCUCUCCCUUUUGUUGUAUUUUUUUUCUUUCCUUUUCAGUUUGCUCAAUUAUUAAAUAUCUGAAUUUUGAAAUGCUCA